AAAUUAUAAACGACAGAAGAUCCCACUCUCUUCUCCUACCUUCAUCUCCUCUCCUUCAACCGUCACAUAUGCAAAAUUGAAAAACAAUAAACCCAAAUUGGAUCGAUUCAUCAAUUUAAUUAAAGCCCCGAUUAUCUCCAACCUUAAAUCCAAUCUCAAAUUAUGAGUUUAAUUUCAAACCCAACAAAAAAAAGGUAAUCUCGAUCCCGUCGCUUCAUCUCAGUCAUUUUCUCUCCUAUGACCACCGGUUCACAUCAUCAACUAUGAAAUUAACUUGGAAUCAUCCCCAUUGAUGUACAGCCUAAUUUCGAUGGUGUUGCUACUUCGAUGUUUGAUUUACCCAGUUCUGUUUCUGGGUUUGAGGUUUCAAAUAGUGAACAAAUCCCAGAAAAUUGAGGUUCACUCAAGGAAUUCAUCAAAUCCCAACAAUCUCAGCCUCACCCAAGAAUUAAGAGAAUCUUUUAUGGUGGAAAGGCUAGUGGUUGAUGAUGAUGAUCUUGAUCAUCUUUCAUGGCGCUUGGUAGUAUGUUUUAUUAGAUAUUUGGAAAGAGAUGGAGAAGAGAACAGGAAAUGAUAGAAUUUAAAUGCUUUGAAAUUUAGUGAACUUUGUAAUAUUGAGUAAUGCCAUAAUGGGUUCCUCUUUUUCUGUUCAUUGCUUUAAUAUUUGUUCAAAUGUCAUUCUUAGGGGAAAAAAUUGGAGUUUUAAUUGCAGUUAUAAAUUUUUUGGUUGUUUUAGAUUUGUACACCAUUCCCUUAAGAUAUUUAGUUGAAAAUAACUGCUUCCAGAAAUCAAAUCCUCUAAAUCGAGUUCCAGAGUCACUCACUGUCUCUCUCCACCACUUAACGCAGUUAUUAGUGUUUCGCCACAGAUGAGUGUGGCAGCGGUGGGGAUGACAAAUGUGGUGGCGGUCGCUGUGGUGAAAGGAGUCAUGGUCUCAUGGAGGCAAGGGCGCAAAUAUUCAAUUUGGGCAUAUACUAAACCCUACAGCCCAAUGGCAGAAACUCAUUGGUGACAGAGUUUCGGAGUGGUACCCUCACGACAUUAAACAUGACUAUCCUCAAAUCAUGGCUAGCCAAGGAUAAGAGAUGUAAUGGCUUGGGAACAUAUUUGGGUGCAUUGGUGGGCUUGUGGUGCCUUUGUGUUACAAUCACCGACAACGAGAGUGAGGGACGCAACAGAAAUCCUACCUAGCGACAGUUGCAGGAAUGUCCACUAACGAGACAUCUUUGGAAUCCGGUUGGUAGUGUUUUAAGUGAUACGCAAUGAUGGAAGAGAAUAUGUUUUGGAGUCUUGAAGCAAACGGGCAACGUGUUUUGGAGUCUCUGCGUACCAUUUUUGCUUUAACAUUGCUUCGGAUAUGGCAAAAUCGAUAGACAUACCUAUAAAUAGACUGGAAUUAUGUGUUGCCAUAUGGUGAAAUUGAGAAAAUAUGAAAGGGUGAAACAACUAGGAGAUACACUAUUGAUUAUUUGGUGAAUGUAUACUUGAAUAGAAUUCAAAUUUCAUAACAAUAAUUAUCCUUAUUUGUCUUCAAUUUAGUGAAUUUGACGUUUUUUGGUUUACAUAGAAUACAA